rnacentral:rRNA from 1 species
CGUCAGCUCGUGUCGUGAGAUGUUGGUUAAGUCCGCAACGAGACGCAACCCCUAUUGUUAGUUGCCAUCAUUCAGUUGGGCACUCUAGCGAGACUGCCGGUAAUAAACCGGAGGAAGGUGGGGAUGACGUCAAAUCAUCAUGCCCUUAUGACCUGGGCUACACACGUGCUACAAUGGUUGGUACAACGAGUUGCGAGUCGGUGACGGCGAGCUAAUCUCUUAAAGCCAAUCUCAGUUCGGAUUGUAGGCUGCAACUCGCCUACAUGAAGUCGGAAUCGCUAGUAAUCGCGGAUCAGCACGCCGCGGUGAAUACGUUCCCGGGCCUU